rnacentral:rRNA from 1 species
AAAUUGAAGAGUUUGAUCAUGGCUCAGAUUGAACGCUGGCGGCAGGCCUAACACAUGCAAGUCGAACGGUAACAGGAARCAGCUUGCUGYUUCGCUGACGAGUGGCGGACGGGUGAGUAAUGUCUGGGAAACUGCCUGAUGGAGGGGGAUAAC